rnacentral:rRNA from 1 species
UACGGAGGGUGCAAGCGUUAUCCGGAUUCACUGGGUUUAAAGGGUGCGUAGGCGGAUUUGUAAGUCCGUGGUGAAAUCUCUAAGCUUAACUUGGAAACUGCCAUGGAUACUAUAAGUCUUGAAUAUUGUAGAGGUUAGCGGAAUGUGUCAUGUAGCGGUGAAAUGCAUAGAUAUGACAUAGAACACCAAUUGCGAAGGCAGCUGGCUACACAAAUAUUGACGCUGAUGCACGAAAGCGUGGGGAUCACACAGG